rnacentral:rRNA from 1 species
CUACGGGUCGCACCAGUGGGGAAUCUUGCACAAUGGAGGAAACUCUGAUGCAGCGAUGCCGCGUGAGUGAAGAAGGCCCUUGGGUUGUAAAGCUCUUUUGUCGGGAAAGAUAAUGACUGUACCCGAAGAAUAAGGUCCGGCUAACUUCGUGCCAGCAGCCGCGGUAAUACGAAGGGACCUAGCGUAAUUCGGAAUUACUGGGCGUAAAGCGCGCGUAGGCGGUUAAGUAAGUUAAUUGUGAAAGCCCAAAGCUCAACUUUGGAAUUGCAAUUAAAACUACUUAGCUAGAGUUUAUCAGAGGAAAGCGGAAUACAUAGUGUAGAGGUGAAAUUCGUAGAUAGUAUGUAGAACACCAGUUGCGAAGGCGGCUUUCUGGGAUAACACUGACGCUGAGGUGCGAAAGUAUGGGUAGCGAAGAGGAUUAGAUACCCCAGUAGUC